AUGUGUGUACCCAAGAACCAAGGAGGAAUGGGUUUUCAGGAUAUCCAUUGUUUCAAUUUGGCUAUGCUUGCUAAACAGGCUUGGCGUCUUAUCGAGAAUCUGGAUUCUCUAUGUGCUACUAUUUUGAGAGUCAAAUACUAUCCUGACGGUGACCUGUUGAACACUGACCUGAAGAAGGGUUUUUCCUUCACCUGGCAAAGUAUUAUGGCGGGUGUGAGCUCCAUGAAGCGUGGUCAUAUUUGGCGAGUGGGUAAUGGGCAAAAUAUUGACAUUUGGGAGGAUGCAUGGAUUCCAAAUUGUGCAAACCAUAAAAUUGUUACCCCUAAGGGAGGCCAGUUGUUACGGAAGGUAGCAGAUUUGAUUGAUCCAAUCCUAAAUAGUUGGGAUGAAGAUCUCCUCAGAUAG
rnacentral:rRNA from 1 species